CAAUAGCGUAUAUUAAAGUUGUUGCAGUUAAAAAGCUCGUAGUUGGAUUUCUGAUCGAGACAUCAGGUCGGGUCCGAGAGGAUCAUGUACUUUGAUUUUGUUUUGAUCAUCCUUGGGGAGAGCAUUUCUGGCAUUCAGUUGUCGGGAUUGGGAUCCUCAUCGUUUACUGUGAAAAAAUUAGAGCGUUCAAAGCAGGCCUCGGCCUCUGAAUACAUUAGCAUGGAAUAAUAAGAUAGGACUUUGGUGGUCUAUUUUGUUGGUUUGCACGCCAAAGUAAUGAUUGAUAGGGAUAGUUGGGGGUAUUCGUAUUCAAUUGUCAGAGGUGAAAUUCUUGGAUUUAUGGAAGACGAACUACUGCGAAAGCAUUUACCAAGGAUGUUUUCAUUAA
rnacentral:rRNA from 1 species